rnacentral:rRNA from 1 species
CCUACGGGCGGCAGCAGUGAGGAAUAUUGGUCAAUGGACGAGAGUCUGAACCAGCCAAGUAGCGUGAAGGAUGACUGCCCUAUGGGUUGUAAACUUCUUUUAUAUGGGAAUAAAAUGUUCCACGUGUGGGAUUUUGUAUGUACCAUAUGAAUAAGGAUCGGCUAACUCCGUGCCAGCAGCCGCGGUAAUACGGAGGAUCCGAGCGUUAUCCGGAUUUAUUGGGUUUAAAGGGAGCGUAGGUGGAUUGUUAAGUCAGUUGUGAAAGUUUGCGGCUCAACCGUAAAAUUGCAGUUGAAACUGGCAGUCUUGAGUACAGUAGAGGUGGGCGGAAUUCGUGGUGUAGCGGUGAAAUGCUUAGAUAUCACGCAGAACUCCGAUUGCGAAGGCAGUUCACUGGACUGCAACUGACACUGAGGCUCGAAAGUGUGGGUAUCAAACAGGAUUAGAUACCCUUGUAGUC